AUUGAACGCUGGCGGCAGGCCUAACACAUGCAAGUCGAACGAGUGGCGGACGGGUGAGUAAUGUCUGGGAAACUGCCUGAUGGAGGGGGAUAACUACUGGAAACGGUAGCUAAUACCGCAUACCAUCGGAUGUGCCCAGAUGGGAUUAGCUAGUAGGUGGGGUAAAGGCUCACCUAGGCGACGAACCCUAGCUGGUCUGAGAGGAUGACCAGCCACACUGGAAAUGAGACACGGUCCAGACUCCUACGGGAGGCAGAAGUUGGGAAUAUUGCACAAUGGGCCCAAGCCUGAUGCAGCCAUGCCGCGUGUAUGAAGAAGUCCUUCGGGUUGUAAAGUACUUUCAGCGAGGCGGCGUUACCCGCCUAAGAAGCACCGGCUAACUCCGUGCCAGCAGCCGCGGUAAUAC
rnacentral:rRNA from 1 species